GACGAUGUUGUCGGCG
rnacentral:rRNA from 1 species